AAAGAAAGAAAGAAAGAAAGAAAGAAAGAAAGAAAGAAAGAAAGAAAGAAAAGAAAAGAAAUUCACGAAAUCAGCAUCUUCUUUCAUUUAUUUGGAGGUUCUGAUAGACUUUUCCAUCCCCUUCACGGUGACCUCCCCUUCUCUUAAUUUCAUAAUCACACACGAGUGUCUGUGUCAUCAUCUUCCAAACUCAGCAGUUACUCCCCCCGCCAAAAUGCACUGUUUUCCCCAGCAAGACGCUUCGUUUCAGUGUUUUCUGAGAUCACCUCCCACAUGAAGUACUUGCCCAUGAAUUCUUCUCUCAAUGCCUGCUUCUCAGAGAACCCAACCAAAGUCAAUGAGGAAAGGGAAGAACAAAGACAACCCAUUACCUUGACUGAGUUGUCCUGGAAAGCCAGGACAGACCCUGGUGGAACGGGUAUAGCCUCUGGCACAUAUUAGAUGCUCCAUAAAUCUUUGUCAAAUGAA